GACGAACGCUGGCGGCGUGCUUAACACAUGCAAGUCGAACGGAAAGGCCCUGCUUUUGUGGGGUGCUCGAGUGGCGAACGGGUGAGUAACACGUGAGUAACCUGCCCUUGACUUUGGGAUAACUUCAGGAAACUGGGGCUAAUACCGGAUCGGAGCUCCUGCUGCAUGGUGGGGGUUGGAAAGUUUCGGCGGUUGGGGAUGGACUCGCGGCUUAUCAGCUUGUUGGUGGGGUAGUGGCUUACCAAGGCUUUGACGGGUAGCCGGCCUGAGAGGGUGACCGGCAACAUUGGGACUGAGAGACGGCCCAGACUCCUACGGGAGGCAGAAGUGGGGAAUAUUGCACAAUGGGCGGAAGCCUGAUGCAGCAACGCCGCGUGCGGGAUGACGGCCUUCGGGUUGUAAACCGCUUUCGCCUGUGACGAAGCGUGAGUGACGGUAAUGGGUAAAGAAGCACCGGCUAACUACGUG
rnacentral:rRNA from 1 species